rnacentral:rRNA from 1 species
CACGUAGGGUGCAAGCGUUGUCCGGAAUUAUUGGGCGUAAAGAGCUCGUAGGCGGCUUGUUGCGUCGACCGUGAAAACCCGGGGCUCAACUUCGGGCUUGCGGUCGAUACGGGCGGGCUAGAGUUCGGUAGGGGAGACUGGAAUUCCUGGUGUAGCGGUGAAAUGCGCAGAUAUCAGGAGGAACACCGGUGGCGAAGGCGGGUCUCUGGGCCGAUACUGACGCUGAGGAGCGAAAGCGUGGGGAGCGAACAGG